rnacentral:rRNA from 1 species
UACGUAGGGCGCAAGCGUUGUCCGGAAUUAUUGGGCGUAAAGAGCUCGUAGGCGGUUUGUCACGUCGGAUGUGAAAGCCCGGGGCUUAACCCCGGGUCUGCAUUCGAUACGGGCAGACUAGAGUGUGGUAGGGGAGAUCGGAAUUCCUGGUGUAGCGGUGAAAUGCGCAGAUAUCAGGAGGAACACCGAUGGCGAAGGCAGGUCUCUGGGCCACUACUGACACUGAACUACGAAAGCGUGGGGAGCAAACAGG